GUCCACCAGAAACCAACCCUGCCAGCACUUUGAUCUUGAACUUCCAGCCUCCAGAAUUAAGGAGGAGCUGCAAAGGGGGAUGUCUGUGUGUGUCUGUAGGACGCUGUACCAGUCUCAGCACAGGAUCCGAAGCAGACACCACGUUUCUUCAGGUCUCUGUGGUCUGUGAUGGUUUCCUUGUUUAC